GGAUUUUUCUGAUCUUCUCUUAGGGUUUGAAUCAUUUAGAUUGAAAAUCACUAUCAGUGUAUCACCAUCUCUAUCAGAAUUGUGAUUUGAUCUAUAUGUUCAGUGGCGUGAAGAAGUGAAGAUGACCACAUCAAAUGAAACUCCAACUACAAAUGCAACUGCAACUCCAACUACAAGUACAACUCAACAAACAGAAGUUGGAUCAUCCUCUCAAGCUGCAUCUCACACAAAUGAAUCUGAAACUGCAACUCCAACAAGUAAAGGAAGAG